AGGAUCGGUGCGCCGCGGUCAAGGAGGAAUACGAAACAGGGUCUCAUGAACUUUGAAAAAAAUGGGUGCAGGCAAAGGGUGAGGCGUCGCGGCCCCUUCUCCGCGACGCCUGCCUCUGCCUCUGUGUGUGUGUGUGUGUGUGUUUAGUCUGUCUAUUCGUUUCCCUGUAUCCCCCUGCCCUCUGUCUCUCUCUCUCUCUGCACAACUGGUCGUCACCCCUGCACUAUAAGAAGCCUGCUCCAACGUCCAGUCUCCUCCAGAUCGUCGUGCCAUUGCGGAUUACCAGCCAGCCAGACCAGAUUCACCAGCAGAUUCAUCACUCCCUCUGGACACCGUCAGCCAAGCUACCACCCGCACCGUUCCCUAUCGUAGCCCCAAACUCCAGCCAGUCGCCGUCUCCUCACCCUGCCAACUAACAAUAAAGACUGAUUUGUGUCAUCUCCCCUUGCCUGCCGUGUCUGCAAUUGGGUUCGGCCUAGAUCUGUGACAUGAGGUUGAACUGGGAUUCACAUGGUUAAUCCUCCUCUGUUGGUCCUUGGUCCACCGUGACACCCUGCAGACGACCCCUGCACUCUUUCACUCAACGCUCGCUUUCUAGAAACAGGUUUUUUUUUGUUUGUUUGGACGGGACAGCUGGACACGCACUGCGGUGUGAGCAGAUAGGAUGUAGAUUGUAAUUUGAGGCUUGAAGAAGCAGCCGAGGAUCUGCUCUUUCUUUGCUUAGGGUUAGGUUAUGAUUCAGGGACAGUGAGUCAGGGCCAGAUACCAACAGCCAGAUACCAAUUGCAGGAACAAGUGAUAGGUAACAUCGUUACUGCGCUUCCAUAAGAAUACUCACUCAAUACUCAGGCACACCAUUGUUUACUAAAAAACAUUUGCUCCAGCAGGUGAAAAACUAAACCCAGUCAAAUGCAUGUUUUUUUUUAACUCAGUGCACCGCAAAAGGGUGCACUGGCAUAAAACAUGGUAGGAAAUGGUACUGUUUGGUAAAAUUCUGCUAUGUGCUGUGGAGGAUAUCAGUGAAAGCCAGACUUGCUUUGUGGCUCAGCUCUGAGUUGCCCUCCAGUUUCUUGAGGAGGGCCUGUCUGAUUGGCUCUCUGGAGUUUGCCCACAGCCUCUCAGGAGCCGCGUUCCUGGACAUCACCUGGCGGUUCACAUCCUUAGUGGGCUGCCUGCGGGUACAGGAGAACAUCACACAGAUCCCUGCAGUCAGUAUUGUAAAGUGAGCACUUUCUCUUGCCAUCGUGCGGGAGAGGUUGUGAGUAUUUUCCAGAUACCUGAAGUGCUCGAGGGAAAAUUCCUUCAGUGUGGCGGGAGCCAACCUCUCCAAUGUGCCUGUUUCCUUCUUGUUCGCCUGUAUGAUGUUCUUUCGCUGGUUGGGAGACAGGCUUAGAAGGCUCUGAAAUAAAGAAAACGUAGCCACCGUAUUUCAUAAGGGUUAGGGUUAAGGUUAGGGUCGGGGCACGAUAAUUAUCUGACAAAGAUAUGUCAUUGACGCGUCCGUACCAUGAGCUCAUUGGUGGGUUUGUUGAGCGUUGGCAGGAUUAAGACGGCGUCGGUGGGGACAGCUCCUGUUUGUUUUGUGCUCUCAAUCUGGCCCUUAAUCCAGCCACGUUGCUGAGAAAACUCGUCAUCUUUGAUAAUUACGAUGAGCUCUCCUUUCUUGAAGCUGAGGAACGUGGGGUCAUCUAUAGAGGAAUAUAACGAAAAUCAGCCAGUUAGCAAAUCAAUAAGAGCCACGGCGUACCGCGAUCGCUCCGCCAGUCCACCGAGGAACAUGGUGACCAGCUCGGCCAUGUCCCCAGCUGCAGAGCCGCUCAGAGUGAAGUCUCCUUUCAGCGUCAGCAGACACACCACCUGACCAGAGGCUUUACCCUCCCUGUGUGGCCAUCACAGCAGAGUCAGAAAACACAGGAUGAAAGCAUGUCCGGUAUCAUAACAGUGCACUAAGGUCUGGGCACCACUGAGCAAAUGACAUAUUUCUUUGACUGUCGAGGUGAAAAGAACGAAACACAAACUCUGCAGCAAAAACCUUUCAUCAAAUGUUAACGGACUGUAAGGCAGGGCAACAGUCAAGAAUUGUCAUUGAGAACUGUCAUCUGAUGACAUUUCAAGUUUGAUAAAUUGUGAGUUGGAUCAAUUCUGUCUAUGACGGUUGCCAGAGCGGAAUCUGGAGAAAAGAGAAAACUUAAUUUCCACUGUGAAAAGCUUUCAGUUCUGUUCUUUCCUCUUCUUUCAAUGUUAUUUGUAUUUAACUCUUUUCAUUGCAAAAAUCAACAAAUUAUGUAAUUUGCUUUUGCUUAAAAAAAGGCUUUCUUCUCAGA